UACGUAUGGUGCAAGCGUUAUCCGGAUUUACUGGGUGUAAAGGGAGCGCAGGCGGCGCGUUAAGCCUGGUGUGAAAGCCCGCGGCCCAACCGCGGGACUGCAUUGGGGACUGGCGCGCUGGAGUGCCGGAGGGGUAGGCGGAAUUCCUAGUGUGGCGGUGAAAUGCGUAGAUAUUAGGAGGAACACCAGUGGCGAAGGCGGCCUACUGGGCUUUAACUGACGCUGAGGCACGAAAGCGUGGGUAGCAAACAGG
rnacentral:rRNA from 1 species